GCUGCAUGUGAGGACAGUUGCUGGACUGCAACUUGUUUCGCUUGCCGAUACUGAGGUCAUUUUUUUAUUGAAAGACGUGAUUGAAGUGCCUCAGAUUUUCCAGUUAAAUGCUUCUGAACAUAGAUGACUGUAGACGUCACGUAAUCGUAAACGUUAUCUUCGCACCCGUAUUGUAGAACUUCUCCAGGCAUAAACAUCUCCCAGGUUGGAUACGCCGUAUUGCCAGCAACACAUCGCAUGCAGAUUAAUCGCCACGUCAUAUAUACCAGCCAGAAAAUCCAUUCCACCAUUAACCUGGGAGGACCGUAGAAGUGACUAGGCCGUAGGUAGUUAAUGAUUGUUUUAUGGUGACAUCCCUUUGCUGCUGAUGUUAUAACAAGGACUGACGCUGACUCCACCAGAUCACGAGUUUCACUGGUGAAUUAAAUGAAAUUAGUUGUCGGAAUCUUAAUUAGUGCUUAUCGGGGUAGUAUGUAAGGUGUAUGAUUUAAUUUGAUUGUCUUUGUUGUCUGCAUCGUUCAGUACCCUGUAAUAUGAAA